CAUAUGAUUUUCAUGGACAAAAAACCUUACAGCUGUAGAUGAUCUAAGGUUGCUAACCACAAUAGGUGAAACUCCAAUCAUUUUAACACCCAAAGAGCAACUUAAAUGGAAAAAUAAUUGAUUCAACAAAGUUUCCAUAUGAGUUUCCUCUGAUCUGAUGUACAAGCAAGCUUUAAUGGCAGAUGCAUGGAUAAGGGAAGCUGAAGAAGCAUUAAAGUUGGUGGAAGACAUAGAAAAUAGAGUAAACAACAAUGACCCAUCACUACAAGACCAUGGAAAUUGCGUUAUAGACAUUGCCGCUCGUUCCAAGCUUUUAGAUGUUGGGAUGAAAAUUGAUCGACUUGAAGCACUUCUUAGAAACCUUCCUUCAAAACUUAUUUUGUAUGUUUCAUAUUUCUCUCUAUUAAUUACAUCUUAGAUUGUUUGUUUUCAAUGGAAUGCAUGAUUAAUAUCCAAAA